rnacentral:rRNA from 1 species
UACGGGGGAGGCAAGCGUUGUUCGGAAUUACUGGGCGUAAAGGGCUCGUAGGCGGCCAACUAAGUCAGACGUGAAAUCCCUCGGCUUAACCGGGGAACUGCGUCUGAUACUGGUUGGCUUGAGUGUGGGAGAGGGAUGCGGAAUUCCCGGUGUAGCGGUGAAAUGCGCAGAUAUCGGGAGGAACACCGGUGGCGAAGGCGGUUCUCUGGGCCUUACCUGACGCUGAGGAGCGAAAGCGUGGGGAGCGAACAGG